UAAGAUGUUCAUAAACAUUUUUUUUAGAAGAUUAUACAACAAUUAUACCUUUUUUUUCUAUUUUCUUGCAUGUGAUCAUUUGUUUACCUAAUAUAUGCAAAUUAAGAAGUCGGUACAUUUGUACUUAGCUGGGAGGGUGGAUUUGGCAAGUCUUAGUUAUUCAGAAAGGACUGAUCAUCAUCCAGAUUUUUUUUUACUAAAUGUGACGGAUUGACUAGAUUGUAUUCCUCUUUAAUAGUUUAUUCAUAUACAUGAUUUAAGAAAAAAGAACAGUUUUUUGUACCUCUGUGUAAUGUAUACAAAUGUUGUACAUAACCACAAACAUAAUAUAUAAUAUUUACAAAGAU
rnacentral:misc_RNA from 1 species